rnacentral:rRNA from 1 species
AGUGAACGCUGGCGGUAGGCCUAACACAUGCAAGUCGAGCGGCAGCACAGUAAGAGCUUGCUCUUACGGGUGGCGAGUGGCGGACGGGUGAGGAAUACAUCGGAAUCUACUUUUUCGUGGGGGAUAACGUAGGGAAACUUACGCUAAUACCGCAUACGACCUACGGGUGAAAGCAGGGGAUCUUCGGACCUUGCGCGAUUGAAUGAGCCGAUGUCGGAUUAGCUAGUUGGCGGGGUAAAGGCCCACCAAGGCGACGAUCCGUAGCUGGUCUGAGAGGAUGAUCGGCAAAACUGAAACUAGGAACCGGUCGGCACCCCACCGGGGGGCAGCAGUGGGAAUAUUGGACAAUGGGCGCAAGCCUGAUCCAGCCAUACCGCGUGGGUGAAGAAGGCCUUCGGGUUGUAAAGCCCUUUUGUUGGGAAAGAAAAGCAGCAGGUUAAUACCCCGCUGUUCUGACGGUACCCAAAGAAUAAGCACCGGCUAACUUCGUG